rnacentral:tRNA from 1 species
GCGGGUGUAGCUCAGUUGGUAGAGCAUCAGCCUUCCAAGCUGAAUGUCGCGAGUUCGAGUCUCGUCGCCCGCUCCA